AUUGAACGCUGGCGGCAUGCCUUACACAUGCAAGUCGAACGGCAGCACGGGAGCAAUCCUGGUGGCGAGUGGCGAACGGGUGAGUAAUACAUCGGAACGUGUCCAGUAGUGGGGGAUAGCCCGGCGAAAGCCGGAUUAAUACCGCAUACGACCUACGGGUGAAAGCGGGGGAUCGCAAGACCUCGCGCUAUUGGAGCGGCCGAUGGCAGAUUAGCUAGUUGGNGGGGUAAAGGCCUACCAAGGCGACGAUCUGUAGCUGGUCUGAGAGGAUGGACAGCCACACUGGGACUGAGAUACGGCCCAGACUCCUACGGGAGGCAGCAGCAAGGAAUUUUCGUCAAUGGGGGCAACCCUGAACGAGCAACGCCGCGUGGGCGAAGAAGUCCUCGG
rnacentral:rRNA from 1 species